rnacentral:rRNA from 1 species
AGACUUUGAAGCAGUGACGCUAGUCAUUGUGGAGUCGUCCUUGAAAUACCAGCCUGGCAUGUUUGAGGUUCUAACCUGGGUCCCUUAUCGGGAUCGGGGACAUUGUGUGGUGGGUAGUUUGACUGGGGCGGUCUCCUCCUAAAGCGUAACGGAGGAGCACGAAGGUUGGCUAAUCAUGGUCGGACAUCAUGAGGUUAGUGCAAUGGCAUAAGCCAGCUUAACUGCGAGACAGACACGUCGAGCAGGUACGAAAGUAGGUCAUAGUGAUCCGGUGGUUCUGUAUGGAAGGGCCAUCGCUCAACGGAUAAAAGGUACUCCGGGGAUAA